rnacentral:rRNA from 1 species
GGCAGCGGGUUGAAAGCUUGCUUUCAAUGCCGGCGACCGGCGCACGGGUGCGUAACGCGUAUCAAACCUGCCUCAUACUCGGGGAUAGCCUUGCGAAAGUAAGAUUAAUACCCGAUGUUGUUGCUUUCUCGCAUGGGAGAGUAACCAAAGAUUCAUCGGUAUGAGAUGGUGAUGCGUCCGAUUAGGUAGUAGGCGGGGUAACGGCCCACCUAGCCUUCGAUCGGUAGGGGUUCUGAGAGGAAGGUCCCCCACACUGGAACUGAGACACGGUCCAGACUCCUACGGGAGGCAGCAGUGAGGAAUAUUGGUCAAUGGGCGAGAGCCUGAACCAGCCAAGUAGCGUGCAGGAUGACGGCCCUCCGGGUUGUAAACUGCUUUUAGUUGGGAAUAAAAAAAGGGACUUGUCCCUUCUUGUAUGUACCUUCAGAAAAAGGACCGGCUAAUUCCGUGCCAGCAGCCGCGGUAAUACGGAAGGUCCAGGCGUUAUCCGGAUUUAUUGGGUUUAAAGGGAGCGUAGGCGGAUUGUUAAGUCAGCGGUUAAAGGGUGUGGCUCAACCAUGCAUUGCCGUUGAAACUGGCGAUCUUGAGUGCAGACAGGGAUGCCGGAAUUCGUGGUGUAGCGGUGAAAUGCUUAGAUAUCACGAAGAACUCCGAUCGCGAAGGCAGGUGUCCGGGCUGCAACUGACGCUGAGGCUCGAAAGUGUGGGUAUCAAACAGGAUUAGAUACCCUGGUAGUCCACACAGUAAACGAUGUAUACUCGCGGUUUGCGAUAGAUUGUAAGCCGCCA